rnacentral:tRNA from 1 species
GUGCUUGUGGUGUAGUGGUUAUCACAUCCACUUUACACGCGGAAGGUCCCAGGUUCGAAACCUGGCAAGCACA